UGGGGUGUGGCUCAGUGGUAGAGCACUUGCCUCGAAUGCUUGAGGCCCUGGGUUCAAUCCUCAACACUACGU
rfam:Ictidomys tridecemlineatus contig089709, whole genome shotgun sequence.